rnacentral:miRNA from 1 species
AGGUCUGCAUUCAAAUCCCCAGA